rnacentral:misc_RNA from 1 species
AAAGUCGUAACAAGGUUUCCGUAGGUGAACCUGCGGAAGGAUCAUUAGUGAAUUGAGGGUGCGCUGGUUUAACUACCAGCGGCCUGACCUCCACUUUCUAACACUGUGCACUUUUUGGCAAGUAUUGAAGCUGGCCUAGCCAGCGGAUAUAUAAGCCUAUUUUAAUUUAAACAUCAGUUAAAGAAUGUAAAAAAUCAUAACAAAAAAAACUUUCAACAACGGAUCUCUUGGCUCUC